rnacentral:rRNA from 1 species
GACAGCAGCCGCCGCGGUAACACCGAGGGUGCGAGCGUUAAUCGGAUUUACUGGGCGUAAAGCGUGCGUAGGCGGCUUCUUAAGUCGGAUGUGAAAUCCCUGAGCUUAACUUAGGAAUUGCAUUCGAUACUGGGAAGCUAGAGUAUGGGAGAGGAUGGUAGAAUUCCAGGUGUAGCGGUGAAAUGCGUAGAGAUCUGGAGGAAUACCGAUGGCGAAGGCAGCCAUCUGGCCUAAUACUGACGCUGAGGUACGAAAGCAUGGGGAGCAAACAGGAUUAGAUACCCCGGUAGUCCCUGUCUCUUAUAC